rnacentral:rRNA from 1 species
GGUGCUUGCAUCAUGAUUUACAUUUGAGUGAGUGGCGAACUGGUGAGUAACACGUGGGAAACCUGCCCAGAAGCGGGGGAUAACACCUGGAAACAGAUGCUAAUACCGCAUAACAACUUGGACCGCAUGGUCCGAGUUUGAAAGAUGGCUUCGGCUAUCACUUUUGGAUGGUCCCGCGGCGUAUUAGCUAGAUGGUGGGGUAACGGCUCACCAUGGCAAUGAUACGUAGCCGACCUGAGAGGGUAAUCGGCCACAUUGGGACUGAGACACGGCCCAAACUCCUACGGGAGGCAGCAGUAGGGAAUCUUCCACAAUGGACGAAAGUCUGAUGGAGCAACGCCGCGUGAGUGAAGAAGGGUUUCGGCUCGUAAAACUCUGUUGUUAAAGAAGAACAUAUCUGAGAGUAACUGUUCAGGUAUUGACGGUAUUUAACCAGAAAGCCACGGCUAACUACGUGCCAGCAGCCGCGGUAAUACGUAGGUGGCAAGCGUUGUCCGGAUUUAUUGGGCGUAAAGCGAGCGCAGGCGGUUUUUUAAGUCUGAUGUGAAAGCCUUCGGCUCAACCGAAGAAGUGCAUCGGAAACUGGGAAACUUGAGUGCAGAAGAGGACAGUGGAACUCCAUGUGUAGCGGUGAAAUGCGUAGAUAUAUGGAAGAACACCAGUGGCGAAGGCGGCUGUCUGGUCUGUAACUGACGCUGAGGCUCGAAAGUAUGGGUAGCAAACAGGAUUAGAUACCCUGGUAGUCCAUACCGUAAACGAUGAAUGCUAAGUGUUGGAGGGUUUCCGCCCUUCAGUGCUGCAGCUAACGCAUUAAGCAUUCCGCCUGGGGAGUACGGCCGCAAGGCUGAAACUCAAAGGAAUUGACGGGGGCCCGCACAAGCGGUGGAGCAUGUGGUUUAAUUCGAAGCUACGCGAAGAACCUUACCAGGUCUUGACAUACUAUGCAAAUCUAAGAGAUUAGACGUUCCCUUCGGGGACAUGGAUACAGGUGGGUGCAUGGUUGUCGUCAGCUCGUGUCGUGAGAUGUUGGGGUUAAGUCCCGCAACGAGCGCAACCCUUAUUAUCAGUUGCCAGCAUUAAGUUGGGCACUCUGGUGAGACUGCCGGUGACAAACCGGAGGAAAGGUGGGGAUGACGUCAAAUCAUCAUGCCCCUUAUGACCUGGGCUACACACGUGCUACAAUGGAUGGUACAACGAGUUGCGAACUCGCGAGAGUAAGCUAAUCUCUUAAAGCCAUUCUCAGUUCGGAUUGUAGGCUGCAACUCGCCUACAUGAAGUCGGAAUCGCUAGUAAUCGCGGAUCAGCAUGCCGCGGUGAAUACGUUCCCGGGCCUUGUACACACCGCCCGUCACACCAUGAGAGUUUGUAACACCCAAAGUCGGUGGGGUAACCUUUUAGGAACCAG